rnacentral:lncRNA from 1 species
CAGCAGUUAUUCACAGCUUUUUUCUUCUUAAAUCAUAACUUCCUGUACUCUUUGGUAGGCAGAACAGCAACAUUAAGAUUUUCAUUUUGUGAAUUACUGUACUGACUAGUCCUGUGGAUUGUCUUUCUGUUCUUUCACUCCUAUUUGGAAAUGGACUUUCCUUAAAAUACUUUCUCAGAGACAGUAACUCUAUCUUGCCAGGCAUGGAAGAGUGUGAAAAGUUCACUGACUGGUGAAAUUUUAGAAAAUUCUGUAAAGGUGUUUUUCACUUACCUUAACAGUUCAAGGAAUAUCUUGAAGUGAUAUAGUUGAUGAGAAUGAAACUGUUGAUGGAUAUCUCCAGAGACAGCUGUUCUUCAAUCCACAGUGGAUUUCAACAAGGAUGGUACCAGCCAAUGUCUUGAAUAACCCCUUGAAAGGAAGAGAAAUCCAGACAAAGGAUUGCUGGGUGGAAGAUCACCUCCUGAAAGCAUCACACAAAACCACACCACAGCAAAAUCAAGGUCUGGAUUACCUGCAAAUCAGUGUCCCCAUAAAAAGAGCACAGCCAAACUUUGAAGUCUCAUCCAGAGAAGCUAUACACAAGAAAUGUGAUGCAGCCAGGGGUGGCAAACCACCCUGCCCUGUGUGAUGGGACUGUGAGCGUCAGGGUGCCCCUGGCCAGCACAGCCCCGCUUCUGCCAAGGGAUGCCUAAGGCAGCCCCUCAACAGCAACCGCUGCUGCCACCUUCAGCUGCAGCCCCACCCCAUCAGGAGGAGAAGCCAGCUCCAUUCUCCACAGCCCUCCUGUGGAACUUCAUCUUGGCCCUGCCAUUUCAUCACAAAAUCCCUCCGAGCAGGAGGGAGGAAACAGCGAGCGGGGGAGAAAGAGGUGCGAGCAAAAAGAUGGGGAAAUGAAGAGAGCACCCCCUAAACCUCACAUCCCUUCCCCAAACCAGGCUGACCCCUCCUCAUCACCUUCCAUACUACCUAUUUUUUUACACUUUUGACUUAUUACCUCUGCUAAUCCUGCUGUAAUCCCCUACCUCUGUUCCCUGCUCCUGCAGUAUCCAGCCAUCCUUCCCUCGCCCCAUUCCUGCAUCCAGCUGGGAUGCUGCUGAGCCCUCCCUGCCUUCCCUCCCCCCAGCCAGCAGCCCCCUCCCCACCCACCCUCAGGACACCAACCCAGGGCUGCUGACCCCGCUGAAAUGCUUUAUGCUGACUCUGGCCUCAUCCUCUCUAGACUUCUUCUUUAAAAAUUAAAUAACUAUAUGUAUUUCUUUAGCUUUAAGUCUCUUUAGGUCGAAGAAGAGCUUCGGAAGGCAAUGCAUUUUUAAUGAAGGGUGGAAAACUGACAAACCAUUUUUAGAUACAGCUGUAAUAAAUAUUUUUUCUCUAUCUUUUUAAGGUUGGUU